GGAGAAUGGCUCACUUUCCAAUAUUAUCAAGCCAAACAAAUUCGGACCUAUUCCUGAAUCUUUGGUGGCUCUUUACAUUGCUCAGGUGUUGGAAGGUCUUGUUUAUCUGCAUGAACAAGGUGUCAUUCAUAGAGAUAUCAAGG